rnacentral:rRNA from 1 species
UACGUAGGGCGCGAGCGUUGUCCGGAUUUAUUGGGCGUAAAGAGCUCGUAGGCGGCUUGUCGCGUCUGCUGUGAAAACCCGAGGCUCAACCUCGGGCCUGCAGUGGGUACGGGCAGACUAGAGUGCGGUAGGGGAGAAUGGAAUUCCUGGUGUAGCGGUGGAAUGCGCAGAUAUCAGGAGGAACACCGAUGGCGAAGGCAGUUCUCUGGGCCGUAACUGACGCUGAGGAGUGAAAGCGUGGGGAGCGAACAGG